UACGUAGGGUGCAAGCGUUAAUCGGAAUUACUGGGCGUAAAGCGUGCGCAGGCGGUUUUGUUAGUCUGUCGUGAAAUCCCCGGGCUCAACCUGGGAAUUGCGAUGGAGACUGCAAGGCUAGAAUCUGGCAGAGGGGGGUAGAAUUCCACGUGUAGCAGUGAAAUGCGUAGAGAUGUGGAGGAACACCGAUGGCGAAGGCAGCCCCCUGGGUCAAGAUUGACGCUCAUGCACGAAAGCGUGGGGAGCAAACAGG
rnacentral:rRNA from 1 species